UAGGGAAUCUUCCGCAAUGGGCGAAAGCCUGACGGAGCAACGCCGCGUGAGUGAUGAAGGUCUUCGGAUCGUAAAACUCUGUUAUUAGGGAAGAACAAAUGUGUAAGUAACUAUGCACGUCUUGACGGUACCUAAUCAGAAAGCCACGGCUAACUACGUGCCAGCAGCCGCGGUAAUACGUAGGUGGCAAGCGUUAUCCGGAAUUAUUGGGCGUAAAGCGCGCGUAGGCGGUUUUUUAAGUCUGAUGUGAAAGCCCACGGCUCAACCGUGGAGGGUCAUUGGAAAAUGGAAAACUUGAGUGCAGAAGAGGAAAGUGGAAUUCCAUGUGUAGCGGUGAAAUGAGCAGAGAUAUGGAGGAACACCAGUGGCGAAGGCGACUUUCUGGUCUGUAACUGACGCUGAUGUGCGAAAGCGUGGGGAUCAAACAGG
rnacentral:rRNA from 1 species